GACGAACGCUGGCGGCGUGCCUAAUACAUGCAAGUAGAACGCACAGUUUAUACCGUAGCUUGCUACACCAUAGACUGUGAGUUGCGAACGGGUGAGUAACGCGUAGGUAACCUGCCUGGUAGCGGGGGAUAACUAUUGGAAACGAUAGCUAAUACCGCAUAAUAUUGAUUAUUGCAUGAUAAUUGAUUGAAAGAUGCUAUUGCAUCACUACCAGAUGGACCUGCGUUGUAUUAGCUAGUAGGUGAGGUAACGGCUCACCUAGGCGACGAUACAUAGCCGACCGGAGAGGGUGAUCGGCCCCACUGGGACUGAGACACGGCCCAGACUCCUACGGGAGGCAGCAGUAGGGAAUCUUCGGCAAUGGACGAAAGUCUGACCGAGCAACGCCGCGUGAGUGAAGAAGGUUGUCGGAUCGUAAAGCUCGGUUGUAAGAGAAGAACGGGUGUGAGAGUGGAAAGUUCACACUGUGACGGUAGCUGACCAGAAAGGGACGGCUAACUACGUG
rnacentral:rRNA from 1 species